UCUAACCCUAAACUCUAUUACUCUACAGCCGCACUGCCGCAGCGAGCCAGCCACCCACGACCCACCCACCUUCUGAAUCCACGCCUUGCGCCACCAGACCCACCACUAAGACCGCGACUUUAAGCUGCAAGUUCAGAUUGCGAGUUCAAGCUACAAGUUCGAAAGUCGAGACUUCUACUUCUGAGUUCAGGACACUUCAGGUAUUU
rnacentral:lncRNA from 1 species